AGCGAACGCUGGCGGCAGGCUUAACACAUGCAAGUCGAGCGGGCAUCCUUGUGGUGUCAGCGGCAGACGGGUGAGUAACGCGUGGGAACGUGCCCUUCGGUUCGGAAUAACUCAGGGUAACUUGAGCUAAUACCGGCUACGUGCGAGAGCAGAAAGGUUUAUCUGCCGAAGGAUCGGCCCGCGUCUGAUUAGCUAGUUGGUGAGGUUAUGGCUCACCAAGGCGACGAUCAGUAGCUGGUCUGAGAGGAUGAUCAGCCACACUGGGACUGAGACACGGCCCAGACUCCUACGGGAGGCAGCAGUGGGGGAUAUUGGACAAUGGGGGCAACCCUGAUCCAGCCAGGCCGCGUGAGUGAUGACGGCCUUAGAGUUGUAAAGCUCUUUUCUCCGGGACGAUAAUGACGGUACCGGAGGAAUAAGCCCCGGCUAACUUCGUG
rnacentral:rRNA from 1 species